AUUGAACGCUGGCGGCAGGCCUAACACAUGCAAGUCGAGCGGAUGAAGGGAGCUUGCUCCUGGAUUCAGCGGAGGACGGGUGAGUAAUGCCUAGGAAUCUGCCUGGUAGUGGGGGAUAACGUCCGGAAACGGGCGCUAAUACCGCAUACGUCAUGAGGGAGAAAGUGGGGGAUCUUCGGAACUCACGCUAUCAGAUGAGCCUAGGUCGGAUUAGCUAGUUGGUGGGGUAAAGGCCUACCAAGGCGACGAUCCGUAACUGGUCUGAGAGGAUGAUCAGUCACACUGGAACUGAGACACGGUCCAGACUCCUACGGGAGGCAGCAUAGGGGAAUAUUGGACAAUGGUCGAAAGCCUGAUCCAGCCAUGCCGCGUGUGUGAAGAAGGUCUUCGGAUUGUAAAGCACUUUAAGUUGGGAGGAAGGGCAGUAAGUUAAUACCUUGCUGUUUUGACGUUACCAACAGAAUAAGCACCGGCUAACUUCGUG
rnacentral:rRNA from 1 species